UACGUAGGGUGCAAGCGUUGUCCGGAAUUAUUGGGCGUAAAGAGCUCGUAGGCGGCUUGUCGCGUCGGCUGUGAAAACCGGCGGCACAUCCCGGGCCUGCAGCCGAUACGGGCAGACUAGAGUUCGGCAGGGGAGACUGGAAUUCCUGGUGUAGCGGUGAAAUGCGCAGAUAUCAGGAGGAACACCGGUGGCGAAGGCGGGUCUCUGGGCCGAUACUGACGCUGAGGAGCGAAAGCGUGGGGAGCGAACAGG
rnacentral:rRNA from 1 species